rnacentral:rRNA from 1 species
AUUGAACGCUGGUGGCAGGCCUAACACAUGCAAGUCGAACGAGCGGCGGACGGGUGAGUAAUGUGUGGGGACUGCCCGAUAGAGGGGGAUCACUACUGGAAACGGUGGCUAAUCCCGCAUACUAUCGGAUAACCCAUAUGGGAUUAGCUAGUAGGUGGGGUAAAGGCUCACCUAGGCGACGAUCUCUAGCUGGUCUGAGAGGAUGAUCAGCCACACUGGAACUGAGACACGGCCCAGACUCCUACGGAGGCAGCAGUAGGGAAUAUUCGGCAAUGGACGAAAGUCUGACCGAGCAACGCCGCGUGAGUGAAGAAGGUUUUCGGGUCGUAAAACACUUUUGUUAGGGAAGCGGUACCUAAACAGAAAGCAACGGCUAACUACGUGCCAGCAGCCGCGGUAAUUC